CACUCCUGCGGGAGGCAGCAGUGGGGAAUUUUGGACAAUGGGCGAAAGCCUGAUCCAGCAAUGCCGCGUGAGUGAAGAAGGCCUUCGGGUUGUAAAGCUCUUUUGUCAGGGAAGAAACGGUGAGAGCUAAUAUCUUUUGCUAAUGACGGUACCUGAAGAAUAAGCACCGGCUAACUACGUGCCAGCAGCCGCGGUAAUACGUAGGGUGCAAGCGUUAAUCGGAAUUACUGGGCGUAAAGCGUGCGCAGGCGGUUUUGUAAGUCUGAUGUGAAAUCCCCGGGCUCAACCUGGGAAUUGCAUUGGAGACUGCAAGGCUAGAAUCUGGCAGAGGGGGGUAGAAUUCCACGUGUAGCAGUGAAAUGCGUAGAUAUGUGGAGGAACACCGAUGGCGAAGGCAGCCCCCUGGGUCAAGAUUGACGCUCAUGCACGAAAGCGUGGGGAGCAAACAGGAUUAGAAACCCCAGUAGUCCC
rnacentral:rRNA from 1 species